UACUCCUACGGGAGGCAGCAGUGAGGAAUAUUGGUCAAUGGGCGAGAGCCUGAACCAACCAAGUAGCGUGCAGGAUGACGGCCCUAUGGGUUGUAAACUGCUUUUAUGUGGGGAUAAAGUGAGCUACGUGUAGUUUAUUGCAGGUACCACAUGAAUAAGGACCGGCUAAUUCCGUGCCAGCAGCCGCGGUAAUACGGAAGGUCCAGGCGUUAUCCGGAUUUAUUGGGUUUAAAGGGAGCGUAGGCCGUGGAUUAAGCGUGUUGUGAAAUGUAGACGCUCAACGUCUGAAUUGCAGCGCGAACUGGUUCACUUGAGUAUGCACAACGUAGGCGGAAUUCGUCGUGUAGCGGUGAAAUGCUUAGAUAUGACGAAGAACUCCGAUUGCGAAGGCAGCUUACGGGAGCACAACUGACGCUGAAGCUCGAAGGUGCGGGUAUCAAACAGGAUUAGAUACCCUGGUAGUCCGCACAGUAAACGAUGGAUGCCCGUUGUUAGUUCACUUUAGAAUUAGCGACCAAGCGAAAGCAUUAAGCAUCCCACCUGGGGAGUACGCCGGCAACGGUGAAACUCAAAGGAAUUGACGGA
rnacentral:rRNA from 1 species